CCGGCCGGGCGGGCCCCGGCUCCCCGCCCGCCUGCCCGGUGCCGCGGGAGCGCCCGCAGGAGGAGCGAGGGGCAGCAGGGGCCCGGGGAAGCGCCUCUGGCACGCCUUGGGAGGCAGCGGAGCCCGGGGGCGAAGACGGCACUCUCGAACACUAAAAUGGGACGGGUGCUGCCCAGUGCCAAGAAAGGAGGUGCCCGCUCUGCACAAGGUGCAGAGGACUCCUAGUAUGGGAUGCUGAUGCUCCUUUACUAAAUAAAGCAGUGCUUGGGAGUGAGUGAACAAGCUCGCAAGAUGACGGUUGGACUUGGUGAUAUUAAAGGUCCUUUCCGACCCUAAUGAUUCUAUCAUUCUAUGAUUCUAAGAGGCCUAACUAGAUAACCUUCCUCUAGUCCUUUCUGUAGAUUUAUUUAAAUAUUUUUGAAGUGGUGAGUAUGCUCAUCCCCCCUGAAAUGUGUCCAUACCCAUCAUAGCCCUUUCGGCUGUAUCUGCAGGCUCUUUACGAAUCAGUUUUUCUCUUUGUUUCACCUGAAUUUUUUUCCUCUUGCUCAUGUCUCCCAGCCAGCUGCCAGUUCUCCAGGAGUCACCUCGGAAGAGAGCGAGGCACAUGUCUCAAUGACAGAGAGGAAACACUUGUGCCAGUCAGAGAUGCUGAAGGCCACCCGGGGCUGUCUCCUCACCAUCAUUCAGAGGCACACUUUAAUAUCACCAGAGUUUGGGAACUGUGUCUUUCUGGAGCUGUAGGUAUCCAAAGUGGCUGCUGUCAGGAAAAUUCUGUGAGGAAUGCCAGAAUAUAUGACCUACCUGGCAUUUCCCUGCAAAGACAGCAGCCUUCAUCUCAGGACAAACCCACAGGGAACCUGUUCAAUUACCUGAUCUUUUUCUUAAUCACAUAAUGCCUCUUACUGAGACAGAAGAAGAUUAAUUUACUUUUUAAAAACAAUAUUUAUGAACCCAAGGAUUAAAAUUAAUGAUUUGAAAUAACAGCUCCUUAUUGGAGGAAUCCAAACAUCCCUAAUUGCUGUAUUAAGUAAGUAUACACUAAUACAUAUAUCUCUAUCUAGAGAUAUAUGAAAAGAGAAAAAACUGAGUCUUGUACAACAUUCAGUAUCUAGAAGCUGUCAUUUUCUCUCCAGAUUUUGACCUGAAAUGUCACCUGUGGCCGCUGUUUGCUUCUGUUCUAAAACCACUGAUGGUCUGUUGGGACACUGCCAUCACAUGGAUGUGUCUGUUACUGUAACAAAUGCAGUAAGUGCAUUCAUUGCUUUACAAAGAAAGUAUUCCUAUAUAUUAUGCAGCCACAAAGAAAAAUGUACUUGAGAACAUGUAGUAUGGUGCAUGGAUGGAAGCAAUCCCGCGUUUUUCUUCAUGUCACACUCCUCACCCCCAAUUUUGAUCUACUGUAUUUGCUUAACGUAACCAUAUUUGGGCAUAUACACUGAACAUUUUUUUCCAUCACUCUGCAUGGACCUUUCUAUAAUGUUUAAAGUUCUCCAGAUUUCCUUGUUUUUCUGAUCUCCUGGAGUUGUUAACCAAUUACAGCUGGGAUCAAGGCCAAAACCAGCUAAGUAUCACAACCGAGAUUAUCUCAAGUGGUACCUUAGUUAAACUGCUGAAUAAUCUUUUCUUUAGGGUUCAGAUAAACAUUCGUUGAGUUUUCUCAUACCUUAUGCCUUCCUAAAGGGCCUUCAUUUUUUUCUUUUUUAUGUUCUUUUCUCUUUAUAAAGCUUCCUAGAGGAAGUGAGGUGGAGUCCCACCUCUGCUACAUUAACUGCAAAUUAGGAUAGCCCUCUUCCUUCAC
rnacentral:lncRNA from 13 species